GAAAAAGUCAGAAUGUGCCACCCAUUCAGCCCUCCACACCCAGUGUACAGGAGAGCUUCUUAAACUCCCCCUCCUUCCAUCCUGUUGUGGAGGAGUUGAUCCCACUUCAAGUAGGGGACUUCUUGGCCAUUUUCAACUGGGAUGUGGUGUUGUCAAGGAGGACAGGAGGAUAAAGAACCAGGCAGUAGAGGAAAGUGGAUUACGGAGCAAAGGAACACUUCAGUUGUGAAAAGAGGCUAAUCCGAAAGGCUGCUUGGGGAGAUGGGCAAAUUAAAAAGUCAAAAACAUAUCAGAAAAACUCAUGGACGAGUGAAACACCAGCAACAGCCUUUUGCAGAAAUGGCUAGUUCUGAAGUCUUCGCUGGCUCUCUCUCUGACUGGGGGCCUGCCUUGCUUUCUGAUGUCUGUCUAAAUUAACCCCUGGUUAUUGAAAGUCAAGACCCAUUUGUAUGAGUCAAGAAAGAAGUUGUUCUCCUGAAAUCAUGAUGGCCGUCAACUAUGCAGGAGCAGCCCAGAGUUUCUGGUGAGACUCAGCUCCUAUGUAGCCGGAACUUCCACACAGCUCCUGAGGAUAGUCAAAAGGCUUUUGAAAAAAAUAACCAGAACUCCAUGCUGCUGUGAAAAUUUCCUGGCAGGAGACAUAAGGGUCGCAUCCUCCAGCUGGAGAAUGAAGCAUGGCGCAGCUUCCUCCAGGCCUUGCCGAGUGGGCCUCUGUGGCCAGAUUGGAUUUGACAUUGCAGCUCAGUGGAGAAAUCUAUUUUCCUGCAGAAGGGAUUCAGGAGUGAGUCAUAGGAAGGCAGCGCUGAGUGACAGAGUGUGUUGAAUGUCUUCCACAGCAACUCUCAGAUGUUAUAACCCUAAACACCUAUUUAACAACCGAGAUGUCAUGAAGAUAGAAACGAACAAAAAAGAACAAAAAAACCACAAUUUCAGAAGGAAUACUGGAUGCAAUUAAAGUUGUUGGUAAGUCACUUACC
rnacentral:lncRNA from 1 species